UACCAGCACCCUGAGUGGUCGGGACGUUUAUUGGGCCUAAAGCAUCCGUAGCCGGUUCUACAAGUCUUCCGUUAAAUCCACCUGCUUAACAGAUGGGCUGCGGAAGAUACUAUAGAGCUAGGAGGCGGGAGAGGCAAGCGGUACUCGAUGGGUAGGGGUAAAAUCCGUUGAUCCAUUGAAGACCACCAGUGGCGAAGGCGGCUUGCCAGAACGCGCUCGACGCUGAGGUGCGAAAGCGUGGGGAGCAAACAGG
rnacentral:rRNA from 1 species